rnacentral:rRNA from 1 species
UACAGAGGGUGCGAGCGUUGUCCGGAAUUACUGGGCGUAAAGGGCGCGUAGGCGGCUUGGUAAGUCGGGGGUGAAAGUCAGCGGCUCAACCGCUGGACUGCCUUCGAGACUGCCUGGCUUGAGCAUGGUAGAGGCUGGCGGAAUUCUCGGUGUAGUGGUGAAAUGCUUAGAUAUCAGGAGGAACACCAGUGGCGAAGGCGGUGUUCUGGGCCAGUACUGACGCUGAGGCGCGAAAGCGUGGGGAGCGAACAGG